GACGAACGCUGGCGGCGUGCCUAAUACAUGCAAGUCGAACGCUUCUUUCCUCCCGAGUGCUUGCACUCAAUUGGAAAGAGGAGUGGCGGACGGGUGAGUAACACGUGGGUAACCUACCCAUCAGAGGGGGAUAACACUUGGAAACAGGUGCUAAUACCGCAUAACAGUUUAUGCCGCAUGGCAUAAGAGUGAAAGGCGCUUUCGGGUGUCGCUGAUGGAUGGACCCGCGGUGCAUUAGCUAGUUGGUGAGGUAACGGCUCACCAAGGCCACGAUGCAUAGCCGACCUGAGAGGGUGAUCGGCCACACUGGGACUGAGACACGGCCCAGACUCCUACGGGAGGCAGCAGUAGGGAAUCUUCGGCAAAGGACGAAAGUCUGACCGAGCAACGCCGCGUGAGUGAAGAAGGUUUUCGGAUCGUAAAACUCUGUUGUUAGAGAAGAACAAGGACGUUAGUAACUGAACGUCCCCUGACGGUAUCUAGCCAGAAAGCCACGGCUAACUACGUG
rnacentral:rRNA from 1 species